rnacentral:rRNA from 1 species
UCAUAGCAAGGGCCGGGCAAAGACCCGGUGCCAGCCGCCGCGGUAACACCGGCGGCUCGAGUGGUAACCGUUAUUAUUGGGUCUAAAGGGUCUGUAGCCGGCCGGAUAAGUCUCUUGAGAAAUCUGGCAGCUUAACUGUCAGGCUUUCAGGAGAUACUGUCUGGCUCGAGGCCGGGAGAGGUGAGAGGUACUUCAGGGGUAGGGGUGAAAUCUUGUAAUCCUUGAAGGACCACCAGUGGCGAAGGCGUCUCACCAGAACGGACCUGACGGCAAGGGACGAAAGCUAGGGGCACGAACCGGAUUAGAUACCCGGGUAGUCCUAGCCGUAAACGAUACUCGCUAGGUGUCGGCCACGGUGCGAACCGUUGUCGGUGCCGUAGGGAAGCCG